rnacentral:rRNA from 1 species
CCCUUAGAUGUUCUGGGCCGCACGCGCGCUACACUGAUGCAUUCAACGAGUUUCUUCCUGGUCCGAGAGGAAUGGGUAACCUUUUGAAAGUGCAUCGUGAUAGGGAUAGACUAUUGCAAUUAUUGGUCUUCAACGAGGAAUUCCUAGUAGACGUAGUUCAUCAGACUGCAUCGAUUACGUCCCUGCCCUUUGUACACACCGCCCGUCGCUCCUACCGAUUGAAUGCUCAGGUGAGCCAUUCGGACUUACAUCAUGCUGGUUUCCAGUUUUGAUGAAGGAAAGUCUUGCGAACCUUAUCAUUUAGAGGAAGGAGAAGUCGUAACA